rnacentral:rRNA from 1 species
AACGAACGCUGGCGGCAGGCUUAACACAUGCAAGUCGAACGGUUGUAGCAAUACAGCAGUGGCAGACGGGUGAGUAACACGUGGGAACCUUCCUAGGGGUACGGAACAACUCAGGGAAACUUGAGCUAAUACCGUAUACGUCCGUGAGGAGAAAGAUUUAUCGCCCUUAGACGGGCCCGCGUAGGAUUAGGUAGUUGGUGGGGUAAUGGCCUACCAAGCCUACGAUCCUUAGCUGAUCUGAGAGGAUGAUCAGCCACACUGGGACUGAGACACGGCCCAGACUCCUACGGGAGGCAGCAGUGGGGAAUCUUGGACAAUGGGCGCAAGCCUGAUCCAGCCAUGCCGCGUGAGUGAUGAAGGCCUUAGGGUUGUAAAGCUCUUUUAGCAGGGAAGAUAAUGACGGUACCUGCAGAAAAGCCCCGGCUAACUUCGUGCCAGCCGCCGCGGUAAU